rnacentral:rRNA from 1 species
AGAUUGAACGCUGGCGGCAUGCCUUACACAUGCAAGUCGAACGGCAGCACGGGAGCAAUCCUGGUGGCGAGUGGCGAACGGGUGAGUAAUAUAUCGGAACGUGCCCAGUCGUGGGGGAUAACGCAGCGAAAGCUGUGCUAAUACCGCAUACGAUCUAUGGAUGGAAAGCGGGGAUCG